rnacentral:rRNA from 1 species
GAUGAACGCUGGCGGCGUGCCUAAUACAUGCAAGUCGAACGAGGCCCUUUGUAUUCGUACGAAGGUGUCCUAGUGGCGAACGGGUGAGUAACACGUAGGUGACCUGCCCCGAAGAGGGGAACAACCCCGGGAAACUGGGGCUAAUACCCCAUAACCUCCUUGGAGUUAGAGGACCUUGGAGAAAAAGGAGCAAUCCGCUUUGGGAGGGGCCUGCGGCCCAUCAGCUAGUUGGUAGGGUAACGGCCUACCAAGGCGAUGACGGGUAGGGGACCUGAGAGGGUGGUCCCCCACAAUGGUACUGAAACACGGACCAUACGACUACGGUCGGCAGCAGUAGGGAAUAUUGCACAAUGGGCGAAAGCCUGAUGCAGCAACGCCGCGUGUGUGAUGAAGGCCUUCGGGUUGUAAAGCACUUUUCUGAGGGAAGAGAAAGGACGGUACCUCAGGAAUAAGUCUCGGCUAACUACGUG